rnacentral:tRNA from 1 species
GAGCCUGUAGCCUAGACUGGAUAGGGCACCAGCCUUCUAAGCUGGGGACCGAGGGUUCAAAUCCCUCCAGGCUCA